CGGGCCAAGUCCCUUGGAACAGGGCGUCCGAGAGGGUGAGAGCCCCGUACGUGCCUGGGUGUCCACCGCCGUGUAAAGCGCCUUCGACGAGUCGAGUUGUUUGGGAAUGCAGCUCUAAGUGGGAGGUAAAUUCCUUCUAAGGCUAAACAUCGGCUGGAGACCGAUAGCGCACAAGUAGAGUGAUCGAAAGAUGAAAAGCACUUUGGAAAGAGAGUCAAACAGCACGUGAAAUUGUUGAAAGGGAAGCUCUUGCCGCCAGACGUGUCGUGCGUAUUCACCCGGUUCGCCGGGGUACUUAUGCGCGACGGGCCAGCGUCGGUUUUCGCGGCGGGAUAAAGGCCCCUGGAAUGUAGCUCCCUUCGGGGAGUGUUAUAGCCAAGGGUGUCAUGUCGUCUGCGGGGAUCGAGGCCUGCGUUCGCAAGGACGCUGGCGUAAUGGCGUCAAGCGACCCGUCUUGAAACACGGACCAAGGAGUCGAACAUGUACGCGAGUGUUCGGGUGUCAAACCCCUACGCGGAAUGAAAGUGAACGGAGGUGAGAACCCUUUACGGGGUGCAUCAUCGACCGAUCCUGAAGUUUACGGAUGGAUUUGAGUAAGAGCGUACCUGUCCGGACCCGGUAUGUUUUCUUCUAUGAUCCUGUUACUAUUAAUCAAUGCUAAUAAUUAUCGCAGAAAGGUAUGUUCUUAAAUCAUCCCGGCUAACACCCUCAACGAACACCUGCUAACGACGUGAAACUAGAUGGUGAACUAUGCGUGGAUAGGGUGAAGCCAGAGGAAACUCUGGUGGAGGCUCGCAGCGGUUCUGACGUGCAAAUCGAUCGUCAAAUCAGCGCAUAGGGGCGAAGUAAGUCCCUAGAGCGACCCUAUAUAUUUUGAAAAUCCAGUGCUGACCUCUAUUCCAGAGACUAAUCGAACCAUUGGGCUACUAGGUGGUUAACAGAAGGGCGUGUCUGCCCCUUCUAGUCCUUAUCGUUUAGGGGCUACAUCAGUAAUCUGCGGGGACUUUCUACACCAAUCUUAGGCUACUAAGCCCUAUGCCUUCACGUAUAGGGUGGCCAGGCUAAUUAGCCUGGGUACAGUCAGAACGCCUAAGCACUUGAGAAAUCAUCCGCAGCCUCGCUGCUACCGCGGCGUACCGUCGCGGUAGCAGACUGUCCACAGACUAUACAUUGAUGGGUAUUGGCGCUGUCUUAGUAGGCACGCCAACGCUUAAGAUAUAGUCGAGUACCCUAUGAAACUAGGGCUGGAUACCUCUAUGGUAGGCGAAAGAACCAGGCGCUAGUAGCUGGUUCACGCCGAAGUUUCCCUCAGGAUAGCAGUAACGUUUGUAGUUUUAUGAGGUAUGUUAAUUUUUCCUACAUAUCCCUUUACCAUACACUAAUUUGUCAACAGGUAAAGCGAAUGAUUAGGGACCUAGGGGUUGUAACAACCUUUAUCCAUUCUCAAACUUUAAAUAUGUAAGAAGCCCUUGUUGCUUUAUUGAACGUGGGCCUUUGAAUACACCGUUACUAGUGGGCCAUUUUUGGUAAGCAGAACUGGCGAUGCGGGAUGAACCGAACGCGGGGUUAAGGUGCCGGAAUGCACGCUCAUCAGACACCACAAAAGGUGUUGGUUCAUCUAGACAGCAGGACGGUGGCCAUGGAAGUCGGAAUCCGCUAAGGAGUGUGUAACAACUCACCUGCCGAAUGGACCAGCCCUGAAAAUGGAUGGCGCUCAAGCGUGCUACCCAUACCCCGCCGCUGGGGCAGACACGAUGCCCCAGCGAGUAGGCGUGCGUGGAGGU
rnacentral:rRNA from 1 species